rnacentral:lncRNA from 1 species
UGUAGUUCCUCUUUCUCCUGCCAUCGUGCAUUCCCUCCGCCCCCUCCCCCAACCUCCUCACACACUUCAUCGAUCAACUGCCAGUGUCGUUACCAUCAACAUAAACGACGGUAGUAAAUAAUGGCAGUAUGAUUACAUUCAUACUUUAUGUACCACCCUCUCAACAGUGCUGCAAAGGCUGUUUGGAUAUGGAGGAGGCCAAAGUGGCAAUUACUCAGACUGGCGUCCAAAUCUGGAAAUUCCCACACCAGCAUGUUCUCUCCACUCUGCUCCCUCUUCAGAGGGAAUUGGUUUGCAGGGAUUUAGACUACAGUAAGGCUUCCCCAGAGCUUGCAAACAGGGUUCAUUUACCCUCUAUGCAAACAAGGUCAACAACUCCGGAACUGCAGUAGAAGCAGCAAAGAACAGAAAUAAUUUGAUACUAACAUCCUCAUUCUACAGAAUUUGAGCUUUGCUAAAGAAAACUGAAGUUACUAUCGAGUCUGUUGGUUUGCUUUCCCCUUUCUCCCAUGUUUCAGCCGUUCAGAAUGUCAAUAAUUUACCCUAAGACAACACCAGGGCCUGGGAGUGUCUGUUUAUACUUGUGCACUCGCAAGACGGAGUUCUGGAAUGAGCGAUGAGCUUCCUUAUCAGGAUCUUUGAACUCCUCCAUUCUGAACUGACCGUGACCUGCUGCAGUUGCUGCCACCAGCCCCUACCAUUUCUCCUCCCGGACAGUCCUCCCUCCCACAGUUCCCAGCAAGCAUCCUUAAGGCCGCCUUCCCCUGGACAUUCCGAAGUCCUCCAGGCUUAGAUUUAUUGUCUGGUGUUAACUA